rnacentral:rRNA from 1 species
AAGAUUAAGCCAUGCAUGUCUAAGUAUAAGCAAUUUAUACAGUGAAACUGCGAAUGGCUCAUUAAAUCAGUUAUCGUUUAUUUGAUAGUUCCUUUACUACAUGGUAUAACUGUGGUAAUUCUAGAGCUAAUACAUGCUUAAAAUCUCGACCCUUUGGAAGAGAUGUAUUUAUUAGAUAAAAAAUCAAUGUCUUCGGACUCUUUGAUGAUUCAUAAUAACUUUUCGAAUCGCAU